rnacentral:rRNA from 1 species
UUAUAGUUGCGCAGGAACUUUGUUGACUCUAGAGAACCUCGAGCAAAUCGCACAUCCCCGUGGCAGUGACUUUGCAUGCGGAUGUCAUCCAUAUCAACUUUCGAUGCCAGUUUCUGCGCCUACCACGGUGACCACGGGUAACAGGGAAUCAGGGUUCCAUUCUGUACAGGGACCCUGAGAAACGGCUACCACAUGCAAGGAAGGCAGCAGGCGCGCAAAUGACCCACUCCUGACACGGGAAGGUAGUGAUGA